rfam:Canis lupus familiaris chromosome 36, whole genome shotgun sequence.
GUCUACCGCCAUACCACCCUGAACGCGCCUGAUCUCGACUGAUCUUGGAAGCUAAGCAGGGUUGGGCCUGGUUAGAAGUUGGAUGGGAGACAUAUAUCUGACCCUUUGUGAAACC